GAUGUAGCUCAGUUGGUAAAGCAUGAGAGUCUUAAUCUUAGGGUUGUGGGUUUGAGCCCAAUGUUGGGCA